GGGUCAGUAGGUUGGUCGUGCCACCGGUACGUACUGGUCUCACUGAUUCCUCCUUCCUAAAGAACCGUAAUGCCAUUAAUUUGGUGUUGCGGGGAAACAGGACUGUUACUUUGAAAAAAUUAGAGUGUUUAAAGCAAGCUAACGCUUGAAUACAUUGGCAUGGAAUAAUGAAAUAGGACGAUCGAUCCUAUUUUGUUGGUUUCUAGGAUUGACGUA
rnacentral:rRNA from 1 species